GGCCGGGCGCGGUGGCUCACUCCUGUAAUCCCAGCACUUUGGGAGGCCGAGGCGGGUGGAUCAUCUGAGGUCAGGAGUUCGAGACCAGCCUGGCCGACGUGGUGAAACCCCGUCUCUACU
rnacentral:misc_RNA from 1 species